rnacentral:misc_RNA from 1 species
UUGUUUGUUAUGUUAUAAGUCGUUCAUUACACAUAGUUUGUAUGUCCGGCGGGCUGGGCCCACCGAUGAGUUCACAGGUGUGAGGAUUGGAUAAAGGUCUCUCGACCAAAUCACUAAUGAUCCUUCCGCAGGUUCACCUACGGAAA